rnacentral:rRNA from 1 species
UACGUAGGGUGCAAGCGUUAAUCGGAAUUACUGGGCGUAAAGGGUGCGCAGGCGGUUUGUUAAGUCAGAUGUGAAAUCCCCGGGCUCAACCUGGGAAUGGCAUUUGAGACUGGCAGGCUAGAGUGUGGCAGAGGGGGGUGGAAUUCCGCGUGUAGCAGUGAAAUGCGUAGAGAUGCGGAGGAACACCGAUGGCGAAGGCAGCCCCCUGGGCUGACACUGACGCUCAGGCACGAAAGCGUGGGGAGCAAACAGG